CUCUAUGGCCAUACCACCCUGAACGCACCAGAUCUUGUCUGAUUUUGAAAGCUAAGCAGGCUCAGGCCUGGUUAGUACAUGAAUGGGAGACCUCCUAGGAAUACCAGUUACUCUGGCAG
rnacentral:rRNA from 1 species